rnacentral:rRNA from 1 species
UACGUAGGGGGCAAGCGUUGUCCGGAUUUAUUGGGCGUAAAGAGCGUGUAGGCGGCCAUGCAGGUCCGUUGUGAAAACUCGAGGCUCAACCUCGAGACGUCGAUGGAAACCGCAUGGCUAGAGUCCGGAAGAGGAGAGUGGAAUUCCUGGUGUAGCGGUGAAAUGCGCAGAUAUCAGGAAGAACACCCGUGGCGAAGGCGGUUCUCUGGGACGGUACUGACGCUGAGACGCGAAAGCGUGGGGAGCGAACAGG